AAACCUCUCAUUGCUGAUUUGAAUUUAAUCCACAGAGAGACACUUAACCUGCAAACACUCACCACUGACAAGAGGAGGGGGAUAUAGCCCAGUCAAUCACCUUCACACCUGGCCAAUCACAGCCUGCAGCCCUCCCUAGCCCACCCACUCCCAACCGCCCAACUGGGGAAUGUUCAGAAUGUUUCUCUGCCUGACGUUUGGCGGAACACAGGAACUGGACGGAUGUGCAAAAUCGGUGGAGGGGUGCUCACCUUCGUGCCUCUCUCAGGAGGGUGUGUUGCAAGUGGAGGAGCACCUGUUUCUUUCUUAGCUAGUUCAUUCUGGAACAGAAUGGCUUCUAACAUGCUAGAAGUGCACAUUACAAGCCUGCAAUUUUAGAGAGAUUCUGGGGAGGAAGGAGAAGAGUGGACAGAGGCUACUGACUCAUGCUUCACCAUCAUGGCUGCCACCCCCACUAUCUCCUGAGACCCUGGAUCUUCUUUGUACUAACCUUAAGAGAUGACCUGACCAGACCAGGCCAGAGCGAGGACUCAGACACCUUUGCUACUUCUGCUGGCUCCAGCUAAAUCCCAAAUACUACCUGUGAUAAAAUAGGAUCCGACUUUAAAAGCAGCAGCAACACCUAAUCUAAUAUAAUCUCAACUAAUUUCUUCUCUUUUUCCUUAGGAAGGGCAGUUUUGGAGUUUAACAGCAGCAACAACAGUAGUUCCAGCCCAUCCCAACUAACUUUUGCUCUUUUACCCAAUGAAACGGUUGUUACCAUCUUCAAUACCAUCUAAGGGACUGUCAAACAAGGGCUGGUUUUAUUUUUUUCCUUCUAAAAUUCUCUCUAGUUAAAGGAAAA